rnacentral:rRNA from 1 species
CCAGACUCCUACGGGAGGCAGCAGUGGGGGAUAUUGCACAAUGGGGGGAACCCUGAUGCAGCGACGCCGCGUGGGUGAAGAAGCGCCUCGGCGCGUAAAGCCCUGUCAGCAGGGAAGAAAAUGACGGUACCUGACUAAGAAGCCCCGGCUAACUACGUGCCAGCAGCCGCGGUAAUACGUAGGGGGCAAGCGUUAUCCGGAUUUACUGGGUGUAAAGGGGGCGCAGACGGCAGCGCAAGCCAGGAGUGAAAGCCCGGGGCCCAACCCCGGGACUGCUCUUGGAACUGCGCGGCUGGAGUGCAGGAGGGGCAGGCGGAAUUCCUGGUGUAGCGGUGAAAUGCGUAGAUAUUAGGAGGAACACCAGUGGCGAAGGCGGCUUUCUGGACUGUAACUGACACUGAGGUACGAAAGCGUGGGGAGCAAACAGGAUUAGAUACCCGUGUAC